rnacentral:rRNA from 1 species
GGGGAAUAUUGGACAAUGGGCGAAAGCCUGAUCCAGCAAUGCCGCGUGAGUGAUGAAGGCCUUAGGGUUGUAAAGCUCUUUUACCCGGGAAGAUAAUGACUGUACCGGGAGAAUAAGCCCCGGCUAACUCCGUGCCAGCAGCCGCGGUAAUACGGAGGGGGCUAGCGUUGUUCGGAAUUACUGGGCGUAAAGCGCACGUAGGCGGUUCGUUAAGUCAGAGGUGAAAGCCCGGAGCUCAACUCCGGAAUUGCCUUUGAGACUGGCGGACUUGAACGUCGGAGAGGUGAGUGGAAUUCCGAGUGUAGAGGUGAAAUUCGUAGAUAUUCGGAAGAACACCAGUGGCGAAGGCGGCUCACUGGACGACUGUUGACGCUGAGGUGCGAAAGCGUGGGGAGCAAAC